UACGGAGGAUGCGAGCGUUAUCCGGAUUUAUUGGGUUUAAAGGGUGUGUAGGCGGAUCGUUAAGUCAGUGGUCAAAUUGAGGGGUUCAACCCCUUCCCGCCAUUGAAACUGGCGAUCUUGAGUGGAAGAGAAGUAUGCGGAAUGCGUGGUGUAGCGGUGAAAUGCAUAGAUAUCACGCAGAACCCCGAUUGCGAAGGCAGCAUGCCGGCUUCCUACUGACGCUGAAGCACGAAAGCGUGGGGAUCGAACAGG
rnacentral:rRNA from 1 species